UACGAAGGGGGCUAGCGUUGCUCGGAAUCACUGGGCGUAAAGGGUGCGUAGGCGGGUCUUUUAAGUCAGGGGUGAAAUCCUGGAGCUCAACUCCAGAACUGCCUUUGAUACUGGCAACCUAGAGACUGGAAGAGGUUAGUGGAAUUCCCAGUGUAGAGGUGAAAUUCGUAGAUAUUGGGAAGAACACCAGUGGCGAAGGCGGCUAACUGGUCCAGCACUGACGCUGAGGUGCGAAAGCGUGGGGAGCAAACAGG
rnacentral:rRNA from 1 species